AGACCCUGCUUUUACCUUCAGAGCAGACAGCUCCUUGCUUUUGGCCAGAAGCCAUGGUGAUAAGGGACAGAGUUUUGCAGAAGGUAAGCCGUGAGCUCUGGAAACCACAUUGUGGUGGAUGUGAAGCAGAACUGGGAAGGGGAAGACCCUUGCACUGCUCCUACAGACUGGUCUGUGCACUCACGUGUGGAGAGGAAGAGGCUGAAUUUUCCUGCAGGAGCCUGAAUCACCAUGAGGGGCUUGCUGUCCCAUGGAAAUUUGGAAAGAGCAUCUACGGGGUCUGGGAAAAACACAGACAGAAAAACACUGGUCUGAGCUCACGAGCUCACAUGACCAAAACCCUCCAGCAAUGUCCAUGCUCACAUGCCCUCCUGGAGAAGGGAGACCUGUGGAGAUACAGGAGCUUGCAGGGACUAUUCAGGGGUUUGAUCACCUGCUUCUUGGCCCCACCAGCUCCCUUGCGCCCAAUCCCCUCGAGACAUCUCUUGUUGUUUCCCCUUGCUCCCUCAGCACCCUGCUGCAGACCUUGGGGCAACGUCAGGUAUGUUCCUGCCCUGUUUUUGUGACUGGGGCUGGAGGGCUCAGUCCUGCAAGA